CUAUUGGUUGUUUGCUAGAACCAAUCAUAAAAGAUACACCCAUUUCCUAUUCCCUUUUAUGGGAGACAAAAAGCUAUAUUUCCUUGUAUCCAUAAAUGGCAGACAAGGAAAUAUAGCUUUUUGUCUCCCAUAAAAGGGAAUAGGAAAUGGG